UCAAUUCUCUCUUUGGAUUAAUUAUCAUAAAUGAUUCUUCGACAUCCCAAUUUAUUUGCUCAAAUAUUCAUAUAUUUAGUGCAUGUUUGGUUCUGCUGUGAUAAAAAUUGAUUUUGAAAGAAUUGAUUAUUUGAAAGUAUGUUGAAUGUAUAUUGAUUUACGUUUGAAUACAAUUUAGGGAAAGUUAGUUACAACAAUAACUUUCAGUCUAAAAAUUAAUUUUAGUCUUAAAUUUUGAUCACUUCUAGAGGCAAGAUCAACUUGAUUCAAAAUCAAUUUUACAUUUCCAGAAUCAAUUUUGACUAGUUUAAAUUGAAACCAAACAUAGACUUAAUUCUAGAGUAUACCUAAGUUUCUCAUUGAAAAAGCUUGUUCCUCUCCCAACAAGAGGAUGAAUGAACCUCCAAAUCAUGCAAACUUAACCAAACUAAAUUACUACCGUCUUCGGUACUUAGUAGGAUAGAGUGAUAUUUGAGGAACUAACUUCAGGUUUUGUUAUCAUUCUUUAUAUAAUCUGCUUAAAAGUUUUGUGAUGAAAACAUUAGUAUGCGUUGUGUAUGUUUGCUACCAUAAUUUUAAUGGUUUCAGUUUACUAACUGCAGUGACUUCCUGAUUUUUUUCUCUUCUCUACACAAAACACGUUACAAUACAACUAUUGAUUCGGUUUCUUGAUUAAGAUUUCUAAACCAGGUACUCUCUCGCUCUCUAUCUAAACUUAGUAUUUUUCUAUUUUUUUAAAGAGCCAUUGAACUUCAUGAUAAUUGUACCUCUAUAUGUACUACUUAGAAUCCUUCAUCUUUGAGAUUUUAGAAUUCGACUGGUGACAUCUAUAUGGUGACUCCAAUAUUUGUUAUACUCAUUAUUGUAUUAAACUCAGUUUGCCAAAGAUGGAAGCCCUUGCUAUUACUGUCUUGGAAAAGUUGGGUUCUUCACUUUACAAAGAGCUUGGAAUCAUUUGGAAUCUCAAAGAGGAUAUCGAAAAAAUGAAAAACACGGUAUCUAUGAUAAAAUCAGUACUCCUCGAUGCAGAGAGCAAGGCCAAUAAUCAUCAAGUUAGUAAUUGGUUGGAGGAGCUGAAAGAUGUACUUUAUGAUGCAGAUGAUUUACUCGACGAUUUUUCUAGUGAAGAUUUGAAAGGAAAAGUGAUUGCUAGACCUAGAAGCAAAAAACUAAAACAGGUACUAUAUUUCUUCUCAAAACCAAACAAAAUUGCCUAUAGUCAUACAUUAGGCCAUCGAAUAAAAGAAAUCCAGAAGAGGCUUGAUGAAAUUGCUAAAAUUAAGCAUGCAUUGCAACUAACUGACCGCCCUAUGGAGAAUCGGAUUGUAUAUAGAGAACAAAGACAAACUUACUCUUUUGUGAGUAAAAAUGAAGUUAUUGGAAGAGACGAUGAAAAGAAACGUAUUAAGCGUUAUCUACUAGAUAUCAAUGCUUCAGAUAAUGUUUCUGUAAUUCCCAUAGUUGGGAUCGGGGGAUUAGGUAAGACCGCACUUGCUCAACUGGUCUACAAUGAUAAUGAUGUUCAUAAGCAUUUUGAGCUAAAAAUGUGGGUGUAUGUUUCUGAUGAAUUUGAUAUGAAGAAAAUAGCUCAGGAGAUUAUCCGGGAUGAAAAGAAUAGUCCGAUGGAGCAAGUGCAAGAACAACUUAGAGACAAAAUUCGAGGGAAGAAGUUUUUGCUUGUGUUAGAUGACAUGUGGAACGAGGAUCGGGAACUGUGGCAUAAAUUGAAGAGCUUGUUCGUGGAAGGAGGAAAAGGAAGCAUGAUAAUUGUGACAACGCGUAGUCAGACUGUGGCGAAAAUAGCAGGCACACAUCCGCCUCUUUUCUUAGAGGGUUUGAAUUCACAGAAAUCUAUGGAGCUGUUCUCUCGAGUGGCAUUCGGCGAGUUAAAAGAACAACAUGACAUGGAAUUGGUAGCUAUAGGAAGGGACAUUGUUAAGAAAUGUGCUGGCAUCCCUCUUGCUCUAAGGACUAUUGGAAGCCUUUUGUUUUCUCGAAAUUUGGGAAGAAGCGAUUGGCUAUAUUUCAAGGAUGUUGAGUUUUCGAAGAUAGAUCAACACAAUGACAAAAUAUUUUCAAUCCUUAAACUGAGUUACGAUCAUCUUCCCGCAUUUCUAAAAAAAAGUUUUGCAUAUUGUUCACUGUUUCCUAAAGGCUAUGUGUUUGAGAAAAAGUCUCUCAUUCAGUUAUGGGUAGCUGAGGGGUUCAUUCAACAAUCAAAUGAUGUAAGAUGUGUAGAAGAUGUUGGUCAUGAGUACUUCAUGAGUUUGCUGUCAAUGUCCUUCUUUCAAGAUGUCAUUAUAGACGAUUGUGGCGGCGUAAGUACUUGUAAAAUGCAUGACCUUAUGCAUGAUCUAGCACAUCUAAUAGCCGGGAGUGAAUAUGCAGUGGCUGAAGGAGAAGAAGCAAACAUUGUAAACAGAACGCGUUAUUUGUCGUCUCGUUCUGCGUUACAGUUCGUACCACCGUCACCAUCUUCCUAUAAGUUAAGGACAUUUCAUUUACUUCCACAAGUGAAUUCAAGCAAUCAUUUGCGCCAGACAUGUGUUCUUUCCUUUUCAGGCCUAAAGUUCUUACGUGUGUUGACACUUUGUGGGUUAAAAAUUGCCGCAAUCCCAAAUAGUAUUGAAGAGACGAAGCAUUUAAGAUAUAUUGAUCUAUCACAGAACAAUCUUCUUAAAAAUCUUCCGCCGGGCAUUACCAACCUGCAGAACUUGCAAACUCUAAAACUUUCUGAAUGUUCAAAGCUCGAAAUAUUACCAGAAAAUCUCAAUAAAAGUCUCCGGCAUCUUGAGUUGAAUGGUUGUGUGAAAUUGAUAUGUAUGCCACAAGGGAUAGGACAGUUGACAAAUCUUCAAACACUAACACUUUUUGUAGUGAGAAAUAAAAGUGUAAAUGAAUUGGGUGGCUUAAUCAACCUUAGAGGGAGAUUAGAAAUAAAAGGGUUGGAUUUCCUGCGAAAUAGUGUUGAAAAUAUUGAAAAAGUACUUCUUGAAAAGCAACACCUUCAAGAAUUGGAAUUGCGGUGGGCCUACGACGAUGGUUUUGAUGAGAAUUUUCUAACAUGCCCUGAAUUGCCCGACAGGGCCGAACAAGCAAACGAAAACUGGGUGGAAGAUGAGAUGAUUUUACAAGGUCUGCAACCACACCACUCGCUUCAGAAACUAGUUAUAGAUGGAUUUUGCGGCAAAAGAUUACCAGAUUGGAUAGGGAAUCUCCCAUCGCUCUUGACUCUUGAGAUCUACAAUUGCACCGGUUUGACAUCACUGCCCGAAUCAAUUUGUAGACAGGUAUCUUUGCAGAAACUUUCCAUUUGUAACUGCUUCUCAUUAGAGAAAAGAUAUGGAAGAGCAUUUGGUAUAGACUGGCCCAAAAUCUCUCGUAUCCGAAAAGUUGAGAUCCUUCCUAUGAAACCAUCGUUUUUCAAGUACUUUUCUUGAGUCAAAAUAUUUCUGCAUGGAGUUGGUUCUGAAUCUACCCUAUUAUUUCUGCAAUCAACAUUUUGACAUUGGGAUGAUUGCGCAAAUUUUCAUGAUUGAGGUCGAUUUUACCUACAGCAGAAUAUUGUUAGAUAUUACAAAGUUAUAGACUUCCUGAUACUUAAACUUUUAGUUUCUGGUUUCAUUGAAGCAAGUGCAUGAACAUAUGACUGUUGUGAGCUGUUAUUUCCAUGAGCAUAUAUGUUGUUACAAGUUGAUUGAAAUUUAUUUUCUAAAUUUUCAAUACAACAUGAAUCAAAAGUAUCUCAAACUACUGUAUAGAAUGAAACCUGUUACCUAUAACAUGAAUAAAGAGUAUCUCAGUUUAGCAUUUAAAUACCUUAUAAUACACGUGUUGGUGUAGGUGUUGCUUCUCUCAAUCUUAAGUAACCAUCAAUUAAUAAAUAUGUUAGUAAAUAUAUUGUGAGAUUUUGGAUCGAACUCUAGUAUGGCCGAAGGGUAGCUUCUUGGUUCGACAGGGUUAAGCAUGAAGUCGAAGGUUGUUCACAUGCUUGUGUCGAAGAUGCUAGGGUUGUUAGCAUGUUAAAUUAGGUUUUAGUGUUUAAACCCUAAUUUGUUAAGUUAGCUUGUUUAUUAAGUUGACUUGUGUAAUGGGCCUUGUGGAAAAAGCCCAUUAGUUAGUAUGUUAGGUUUUAUUAUAAAUAGCAUACUAGUCUCUCAUCAUUGCUAAGCGGCAAAUCCUAAUUUAGGGUGAGAGAGGUUAUUUGUUAUUCUUGUAAACUUGUAAUCUUGUUCUAAGAGAAAGUGAAAGAAUAGCAGUUAUAACCAAUUCUUGUGUUCUUAUUCUCUUCCCUAAUUCCCUAUUAUACUUUGUUAUUGGUAUCGUUUUUCACAACAAAUUGGUGCGGUGAGCGUGGAGAAGAUGCCGUCAACAAAGUAUGAGAUUGAAAAAUUCACCGGAGUGAAUGAUUUCGGUCUGUGGCGCUUGAAGAUGAAAGCCCUACUGGUUCAGCAGGGUUGUUUGGAAGCGUUGAAGGGAGAGGCAGCCAUGAAUGCUGCAUUAACGGCAGCGGAGAAGACAACUAUGAUCGAGAAAGCACACAGCGCAAUUUUGUUGAGCCUUGGUGAUAAGGUUCUCCGGCAGGUAUCAAAGGAGACGACGGCAUCAGGGUUAUGGGUGAAACUUGAAAGUUU